rnacentral:rRNA from 1 species
AUGGUGGUAACGGGUAACGGGGUGUUAGGGCACGACACCGGAGAGGGAGCCUGAGAAACGGCUACCACAUCCAAGGAUGGCAGCAGGCGCGCAAAUUACCCAAUCCCGACACGGGGAGGUAGUGACAAUAAAUAACAAUACGGGGUUCUUUAGGAUCUCGUAAUUGGAAUGAGUACAAUUUAAAUCUCUUAACGAGGAACAAUUGGAGGGCAAGUCUGGUGCCAGCAGCCGCGGUAAUUCCAGCUCCAAUAGCGUAUAUUAAAGUUGUUGCAGUUAAAAAGCUCGUAGUUGAAUUUCGAGACCGGCUUACUGGUCGUGCUAUUGUACGUACUGGUAUAAUCGGUUUCUCCUUUCUGACGAACUAUAAUGCCAUUAAUUUGGUGUUUUAGGGAAUCAGGACUGUUACUUUGAAAAAAUUAGAGUGUUUAAAGCAGGCUCACGCUUGAAUACAUUAGCAUGGAAUAACGGAAUAGGACGUUUGAUUCUAUUCUGUUGGUUUCUAGGAUCGACGUAAUGGUUAAUAGGGAUAGUUGGGGGCAUUAGUAUUCAAUUGUCAGAGGUGAAAUUCUUGGAUUUAUUGAAGACUAACUACUGCGAAAGCAUUUGCCAAGGAUGUUUUCAUUAAUCAAGAACGAAAGUUAGGGGAUCGAAGACGAUCAGAUACCGUCGUAGUCUUAACCAUAAACUAUGCCGA